rnacentral:lncRNA from 1 species
AGUUACAUUCUUCACUACACUCACAGUUACUUGAAACUGAGGACAUUCCUGAUAUUCAAGCCCCAAGACCUGGAUGACCAGGAAGCCAGCAACUCGACCAGAAUGGCAGGCUGUGGAAAGAAGUCAUUUGGUGAGCUUCAGACUGAAGUAAAAGAGCCAGAAGAUUAUAGGACUCCCCUUCCUCCAGGACCUGAAGAUGGAAUCCCCAGAGUCUUAAGAGGAGCCACCAGAAAAAGAUCAAAAGACAUCUACUAGAAGCUUUCUUCGAUACCACCUGAGUUCACUGUAGAAGGCAACUUUGUGAUUUCCAAGAGAAGAAAAUGAAAAGAAAAACUUUCUGCUGCAACUUAAAAAUACAUGUUCUCUCAGAUAUGUAGAAACA